UACGGAGGGGGCUAGCGUUGUUCGGAAUUACUGGGCGUAAAGCGCGCGUAGGCGGCUUUGUAAGUUAGAGGUGAAAGCCCGGGGCUCAACCCCGGAACUGCCUUUAAGACUGCAUCGCUUGAAUCCAGGAGAGGUGAGUGGAAUUCCGAGUGUAGAGGUGAAAUUCGUAGAUAUUCGGAAGAACACCAGUGGCGAAGGCGGCUCACUGGCCUGGUAUUGACGCUGAUGCGCGAAAGCCAGGGGAGCAAACGGG
rnacentral:rRNA from 1 species